UACGUAGGGGGCAAGCGUUGUCCGGAAUCAUUGGGCGUAAAGAGCGUGUAGGCGGCCUGGUAAGUCCGCUGUAAAAGUCAAAGGCUCAACCUUUGAAUGUCAGUGGAUACUGCCGGGCUAGAGUCCGGAAGAGGCGAGUGGAACUCCUGGUGUAGCGGUGGAAUGCGCAGAUAUCAGGAAGAACACCAACGGCGAAGGCAGCUCGCUAGGACGGUACUGACGCUGAGACGCGAAAGCGUGGGGAGCGAACAGG
rnacentral:rRNA from 1 species